rnacentral:rRNA from 1 species
UAGUAAUUCCAGUUUAUCCUGCUGGCGGCUGCGGCUAUCUGGCUUGUACUAAGACAUGCAAGUCAUUCGCAAGAAGGCGAACUGCUCAGUAACACGUAGCUAACCUAACUUAUAGUCAAGAAUACCCUCGGGAAACUGAGAAUAAGACUUGAUAAGAGAUUAUUUCUGGAAUGAGUUUUCUCUGAAAGGCAACGCUGUAAGAUGGGGCUGCGGCUGAUUAGGUUGUUGGCGGGGCAAUGGCCCACCAAGCCCAUGAUCAGUAAGGGCUCUUAGCGGAGGAGCCCUGAGAGGGAAUCUGAGACACUAUUCCCAGCCUUACGGGGUGCAGCAGUUAAGAAUUUUCUGCAAUGCGCGCAAGCGUGACAGAGCGAGCCAGAGUGUUUCUCUAUUUAGAGAAACUUUUGCCAAAUGUAAAUAGUUUGGAGAAUAAGGACUGGGCAAGACCGGUGCCAGCCGCCGCGGUAAUCCCGGCAGUCCAAGUCGCAGCCACAAUUAUUGGGUCUAAAACAUCCGUAGCUUGCUUUGUAAGUCUUUUGUGAAAUUUCUUAUCUUAAAUAAGGAGCGGGCAGAAGAUACUGCGAAGCUAGAGACUGGGAGACGUAAGGAGUACAGAAGGUGUACCGGUAAAAUGGGUUGAUCCUUUCUGGACUAACGAUAGCGAAGGCACCUUACGAGAACAGAUCUGACAGUAAGGGAUGAAGGCUAAGGUCGCGAAAGGGAUUAGAUACCCCUGUAGUCUUAGCAGUAAACACUGCACACUAAACAUCGGUACCUCCUCGAGAGGCAUCGGUGCUGUAGGGAAGCCGUAGAGUGUGCUACCUGGGAAGUAUAGUCGCAAGGCCGAAACUUAAAGGAAUUGGCGGGGGGGCACUACAACGGGUGACGCGUGCGGUUCAAUUAGAUUAUACACCGUGAACCUCACCAGGAGCGACAGCAGAAUGAAGGUCAGUCUGAAGGGCUUACCUGACACGCUGAGAGGAGUUGCAUGGCCGACGUCAGCCUGUGUCGUGAGAUGACUUGUUAAAUCAAGUAACAGGCGAGACCCACGUGUAUACUUACUUCUUUGAAGAACAGUAUAUAGACUGCCGUGGUAACACGGAGGAGGGCGUGGGCUACGUUAGGUGAGUACGGCCCGAAUCCCCUGGGCGACACGCGCGCGGCAAUGCUGCAUUCAAUGGGAUGCGACUCCGAAAGGAGAAGCCAAUCCUAAAUAUUCAGCUUAGUUCAGAUUGAGGCUUGAAACCCAGCCUCAUGACGCCGGAAUCCGUAGUAAUCGUUCUUUAGCAGAGAACGGUGAAUAUGUCCCUGCCCCUUGCACACACUGCCCGUCAAACCAACCGAGUUUUGCAUUGUUGAAGCUUUUUUAGGAUGAAACUUUGUAAGACAAGGUAGGUUAAGUCGUCACAAGGUAACUGUAGGGGAACCUGCAGUUGGAUCACCUCCUA